UUCGUAGGGUGCGAGCGUUGUCCGGAUUCAUUGGGCGUAAAGGGUGCGUAGGCGGCGCGGUAAGUCGGGUGUGAAAUCUCGGAGCUUAACUCCGAAACUGCAUUCGAUACUGCCGUGCUUGAGGACUGGAGAGGAGACUGGAAUUUACGGUGUAGCGGUGAAAUGCGUAGAUAUCGUAAGGAAGACCAGUGGCGAAGGCGGGUCUCUGGACAGUUCCUGACGCUGAGGCACGAAGGUCAGGGGAGCAAACGGG
rnacentral:rRNA from 1 species